AAAAAACUAAAAUUUCUCUCCAUAUAUCGUACUACUAUGUAAUUUAAUUCUUAAAAAAUUCGGGCGUUUUUUAAUUAAUAUACAUUUGCUAAUGUCUAAAUAUCCUCUGUAAUGGAUAAUUUUUUUAAUAAUGUAAAAAUGAUGUCUUCUUCAUUAAAAAGCUAGAUUAUUUCGCUUUUCCUUCAUUUUCUUAAUAGCACAUACGUUCACAUUACUAUCGAUCUAAAAUAGAGUAAUUGCGGGAAAGCUUGUAAAUAGAGUUUGCAAUUUUAAUAAUUCGCAAACAAUCACAAAUUCAAUUGCUCUGCUGUACCCUAUUUGAUUCAGGACAUCAAUAUAAAAAGAUUCUCAUCGUUCUCAUAAAUCAGUAUUAGUCAAAAUGUCAUUCGAAAAUGAACAUCUGGGUAAGAAAUAUUGCCAUAUUAAAAAAAACAUAGGUAAAAGACCAAACUAUAAACUUAUUUGUAGGUAUAAAAUUAACGCACUUUCUCUGUGUAGAUCUGAUUAAAAAAAGACCAGUAAAAUUCCUAAAAAAUCUUAUUUUCUUUCAGUACUUCGUAGUCCAAAUAAUACAAACCUAUUACUUUCUGAAAAUAUUUGAAAUCAGGUUUUUUGUAAAAUAUGCGCCUGUAUAUUUCGGCACGUAUUUUCUACUGUUUGUUAUAAUCGUUUCAUGGUUUUCAGAAAAUAUAGACAAUUACACCACUGCCCAGUUCGACAAGUGGGAACUUGAAAACAUGACUCAAACCUUCGAUGAAAAAUUAUAUAAAAAAAUUAAAACACCAUCAAUGAUUGUUUCAAUCGUCAUUAUAACAAAUUUCGCUUUGGCUUUAGUGUCUGGUUAUUUUCACAUAUUGCCUGACGACGAUGAUAAAGAAAUAUUCUUCAUUUUCAUUUUCGUUGAAGAACAUUUUCCGAAAUGGCAGUCGGUAAUUUCGUGGGCAAUUCGUUCAACUUACAUUUUUACCGCCUACUUUAUGAUUUAUCCCAUCAAUACUCUAAGCUACUUCAUGUGGAGACUCAAAUUUCACAUGUAUUUCUAUUUGGAAAAUAUCAAGAAAAUCAAUGAGGGACGACCGCAAAACGAAAAAAACAUAACCACAUGUAUUCCUUUUCAAAAAGAAGUGAGAAAAAGAUUGAUACGUUGUAUUAAACGCCACACGGAAAUUGCUCAUCUUUAUACUUUAACAAAUGGUAUUUUCGGCACAAUGAUUUUAGUAUGCGCCGUUCUUGGAGGCCUUCUAAUGGUCAGCACAGCGUUUUUCG